AACGUUCCCAUACAGGAACAAGAAUUUCAACACCUCUCACUCUCUCUCUCUCUCACACACACACGCACACACACAGUGCUUUCCUCAAUUCAAUUUAUGAUUGAGGUUGAAUUACUAUCUCACGAACCUAGGUUUUGAUCCCAUAAUCUCAAAUACAUUUAUAUAGACUUUCUUUCCUACAAUUACAACUUUAUCCGUGUGUGCACUACACUACUAAAUUCAAUGUGAUGCAUUGACAUCAUAUACAUAGAUUUAUGCAUGAUGUCGACGAAUUAUAGUCCAUCCAGAAGUCCGGUGAACUCGAGAAUGCAGUUAGGCGGAGGCGGUGUAUCUAGGCUGAGAUCCUCGUAUAUAAGGAAGCCCCCGGAGCCGCUGCGCCGAGCAGUUGCCGAUUGUUUGUCGGCUGCCGCUUCGUCCCACCAGGCCACGCUGUCUACUGAAGCUUCCAGAAUUUUACGGGUUUGAAUUCUCGCCAUGCUUUUACUCAGUUUUGCCCGUGUAUUCAGAUCUUGUAACCUCUAUUGUAGUCGUAUAACCUAGGGUUUUGUUUAAAAUGCUAUGUAACACCCAACUGGUGUUAACAUCGGUGUACGCUAGCAUUAAAUGAUAUGAUAAGAUCAAUUCUAAUUUGGUGAUAUGAGACCCAUCUAAUUAAACCUACAUGCCACAUGGAUUGGUGUUAAACACAUCAGUUGGCUACAUAGAAUUGCUCUUUAGUUAAAGAUGGUGGCGGGGGUUGCAAUCUGGGAAUGCCAAUUGUUGAGCGAUUAUGAUUUUUAUACAAAAAACUCCGAUUUUGAUAUGAAAAGUGGGUUGCUUUUUUUUUUUUUUUUUUUAUUAUUAUUAUUAACGGAUAGAUUGAGUGGGAGUUAAAAUUUUUUGGUUAUUUGAUUCUCUAGACGGGUAUUCUGUAUUUUGGGAAUGCAAGUCAAUCAAGAUAUCAUAUUGAAUCUCGAAUGUGGUUCAUAGUUAUUAUGUAGUCUCUUGUUUCUAGCACUUGAUUCUGUUUAUUGUGGGGCUGUGUUUUCUAUUCAUGGUUGCUGGACACCCAUCUCUCGCCAGAAGGACAACAGAGAAAAUGAUAUAGUUCUUUUGAAUUUGAAACUGUAGUAAAUUGGCGCGCUAUGCUAUCUUUACAAAGUGGACAUUUAAUUUUUAAUGGAAGAAUGGUAACUGCAUUCAUACUUGAAUUUGAUUUAAAAGUUGAUUAUAACUAUCAUGGAAAAAUGUCUUUCCCCAUGUCCAUUUUAAAUAGAGUCUUAACACUUCAUUGAGAUUGAAUUCUUCAGUUCUAAUCCAUGAUAGGUGUCCUAUCAAUGUAUAUGACAUGUUGAUGCUUAUAAUUCAAAAGAGCAGCAUUCUAGUCACUCUCUCUCUCUCUCUCACACACACACAUGCAUUUUGGGGGGGGGAGGGAGGGAGAGAGGUUACCACAUUGGAUGAUUUACAUUGCUUUCUUAAUGGCAGGAUUAUCUGGCAAUGCAGUCAACAAUCGACUUGGCAUACAGUGUCAUUCUAGAUCACACACUUGCAGAGAGGGAAAGAAGGUAUGCAUACUGCAUGCCUUAAUACAAUCCAUCAUUAUACCAACACCAUUAUUGCUGUUAGAUAGAUGGUUACUUACCAGUAUCUUCUCUUUCACUCCAUAAUCACACUUUAAUUAUUUACAAUUCUUUUGCUGAUGUUUCCAAUUAUGCCUUAUUUGAUUUUACUGGUUUCUAUAAAGUUAACUUGGGAAAGUAAUUUUGAAAGGGGCACUAAGUUCCUUGCCUUGUGCCAACUCAUGCAUAUGGCUUUUUUGAGCUCUAAUUGACGCAAAUUUACAUUGCAUCUUGUUUCAUUUUAGUGAAAAGAUGUACGGAAGGCUUUGCUGAGAUAUACUUUUACACUAAAACAGUAAAGCUCAUUUUAUUCACACAAUUGCACCGUAGUUUUGACUUUUGAGAAACAUCGUAGAAUUUUUACUGGCUACGUAUGAAUUUCAAGAACAUUCACUCGUAUGAUAAUUAUGAAGUUGUACAUUAGACUCUGAAAAAUAUUAUUCUUUGCUGCAAAUAUUAUUUUCCUCAUUGUCAGAUUUUGUCCAUGGAGCAUGUUUGGCUAAGAUUAAAAGUUUACUUAUAAGUAAAUAAGUAAGUUUUAAAGAUAGACAAUUUUUGUAUUGUUUAGUGUAUGAUAAGUUACUUAUUUUGAUAGUAAGUUAAGAGUUACAUUAAAAUAAGUAUCUUGUUUUACUUAAAACUAAGUUAUCCAAAAGCAUUUGGAAACAAAAAGUUACUUGUAGUCAGAUUAGCUAACCACACUAUGUCUUACAUUGCAUUUAGCUUAUGUUUGAUCUCCAUUUUCUCCUAUAUGAUAAUUUUGCACGUAAGCUCAAUAUUUUUCCUAUUUUUUAACCACAGAUUCUUCGAAAAAUCACUAUUUCAAAACAUAUUCACCCCCCUCCCAAAAAAGAUGGGGGAGGGGGGCUUAAACAUGGCCCUAAUACCUAAAUACCCUUUUUUUGGCCUUGGAUUAAGUUUUGUUUGGUUAAUUCUUUUUGAGCAUUUGAGCUAUAUCCCUUGAAUAAUUUUGUAUAUAGUAUACAAUUGAACUUUAAUUUCCCUUUGUUUGAAUCAGUCCAGCGGUUGUAGCAAGGUGUGUGGCACUUUUGAAACGAUAUCUUUUAAGGUGCGUUCGUCCCAUAUUUAAGAUCAUUAUCUUCAUUUAACAUCUUGUGUAGACCAAUAGAGUACACGUGAUUUGAAAACAGUGCUUACGUUUUUAAUAAUUAUAGUGUGCUCAUUUGUACCAGUAUCAUCUGGUUAUUGUGACUUUUGACUCAAAUUCAGAGAUACAAUUGCGAAAUUUAAUAUCUGUAGAAUUUAAAAUUCGAUGAUCAUGGACCUGGACACAGUUUGGACUUGAAACUGGAUAUAUAGAUACGAAAACACAACCAUUCUUCAGAAAAGGACAGUUGUGACACAACAAUUACAUUAGAUAUAUAUGCAUGUGUAUCACUCUAUAUAUUAUGUGUAUGCCAAGAAAAAAAAUUCAAAAACAUAAAACUUCGCUUUAAAAUAUUUCUGAUUUUAAUUUCCUUAAACUGUGCAAUGUUCUACUUUCCCCUCUAUUUUCAACACCCAAAACUUUCAUGAGACCAGACAGAAUGGGUAGUUCCUUGUACCAGGUCCAACACCAAUCUCCUCAUCCAUUUCUUUUUGUAUUUUGACAUGCCAAGCUGUCUGAACAGCUGUUGACUGUGAUCAAUGCUGUCUCAACAUGACAGGCAUGUGUUGGGCAUUGUACAUGCUCAUUUUAAGAACAUCAGUGCUAUAGAGAACAUCGGUGCUAUAGAUAUAAAACUACUAGUCAUGGUCUGAUCUAUGCACAUGCUUAAUUUUAAAAUGUUUUAUAUUUUCUUAUCUGGGAAAUAUGAUUGAUUAGUAAAUAAAAAUUCCCAUCAAAUUGUGUCGCUACUCAUUAAAGAAAGUUCUAUUAGAUUUUCUAAUUUAGUGAGUUUUUCCUUUAGGUUUAAAUUACUCAAUUGUGGUGUUAUUGAGUUUAUUCAAAAUUAUAAUUAGAUAAAAGGUGAUAGCACAUCUCUUGGGAAGGGUAGGGAGAGAUGAGAUAGGAGAGAGAAUUGGGAUGUGAAGAAAGUGGAAUUAAAAUUUGCUGUAAGAGACAUACUGAAGAAAUAAAAUGACUUACUCGAAGUUCUUCCCCCUCAAUAUAAUAUUAUAGGUUACUGUUUGAGUGGGAAAGAUUCUUUCUAGUCAUUGAAUGGACAUGUAUAUAAUUGAAGCUAUCAUACAAACAAGUGUUUUGGCAACCUACAGUAGAUUCUAGAGUUGUACAGGGAAUGAUAACAUUGGAGUAAACCAAGUGAUUGCGGUGAUUCCAGUAAACACGAUCUUGAUAAUGGUGACAAGUGUUAUAGAGUUGCACAAAUUGACGUUCAAUUUUUGAAUCUGAUGUUGCCCGGGAAAAUAUGUAACGCCCCGAAUUCUGGCAACCCGAAACCUUACGAAACAUGAAUUUUACUAAAGUGCUUGAAGCAAAUAAAUUUUAAUAUAACAAGAAAUUCAGUAAAAUUGAACAACAUUUAAUAAAGAUAUUAAAUUUAAUAAAAAUAAGCGGAACGUUUUGGAAUCAUAUCAAUAAAAAUAGUUCUAACAAAUAUAAGAUAUGAUGUACUCACAAUUGAGUCUAAAUUUAAAAAUAAAAUAAUCAAAUGUUAUUAAAUAUUCUAGUGUUUCUAAAAAUUAAAGUACUUCAUGACGAAGAUCCAUUGGUCCAAUUGCUUAUCCAUCCACCGCCGUCCAGCAUACUAAUUUUUACUUGAAAAUUGUAAAUAAAGAGGGAUGAGUAUAACGAAUUAUACUCAAUUAGAUGCUUGCUACUCCACAUUCAAAUCAAACGUGAAAUUAUGCAUAAAUUCUCUUACCAACAUAACAUGAGAAUUAUCACACCAUGACAAAUGAUAAUUCAAGCAAGCGUUGCAAAAUAACGUGAAAGCUAAAUUGUGCCUUAAAAAAUGUAUCAUGAUUUCUCUCGAAGGAGUCCUGAAUUGAAGUAAUUAAAUUCAUACAUAACAACGUAUUUGAAAAGAUGUGGAAAAACCACUAAUAGCACUGAGCAUCCCACCUUACGUAACGAAUCUUGUAUUAUAAUAUGCACUUGGAAAGCAAAUUGUGGGAACUUGUUUGCUGAGAUUUUUCUCUUGGUUGCUUGUGAAAUUGAAUAAAAUAUAGUAAACUGCUGUGGGAAUAAAGCCUUAGUAAUAUAGAGGAAAAUUUAGAGAGGAAGAGAAUAAAGUAUGGUAGAAUGCUUUAGGUAUAAUCUCAUAUAUAUAGUAGACUAAAAUACGGGGCAGGGCCGUAGGGCAGUCACGCUAAGAUUGGAAUUCUAAAAUUUCCGUCCACUUUUCCCAGAAAUUGGUUUGGACUCCUAGACUCCUAUAUAAUUUGAUUGGAGAUUGACUAUUUGUUUUGAUAAGUUUCAAAUCCAAUACAAUUUUAAUAAGGAGACACAAUGACUGCAUAUCCUGUCAACACAUGGAAAAGUAAGGCAAAUUGAUCUCCUAAUUGCAUAUAUUAUACUUGUUUUAUUCUAACACAAACACACAACUUAAAUAAAUAACUAAUUAAUCUCCAAUAAAAAAAUAAUGGCAGAAUGUUACCAAUGCGUACAAAUUAGCUAGUUUAAUUAAUUAUAGUUCUAAUUAUUCUAAUCCUAAAAUUAUUAGAAAACCUUAUCAUAAAUCAAAUCCUACAAGAUUAAGGAUUCCUAAUUAGUUUAUGUUAUAAUUAAAAUAGAUUUGUAUUACAAAGUAACUAAUAUUUAUCACAAACAAUUAGCAUGACAAGUAAUGAAAAUUGACGUUCACUUACCUUAAUUAGCAAGGAUAUUCCCUUAAUUAUAAUUUUACAUCAACUUCUUUAGACGGCUAUAACUCGAGUUUAACUUAUCCAAUUUAACUUCUUCUCUGAGUCCAUAAUUCGUAAUUUAUUACGAGCUUCAAAAUGAGUCCAAUAUUGAUAUGGUAAUACUUGCUCCUCCAAUAGUUAACUAUUUGGCCCAUUUAAUAAAAGUAUAAAUUUUUAUAUUUAUUUUCACUUUGGUCCCUCAACUAUGAAGAUAUUCAUUUACAUCCAAAUUAACUAUAGAGAUAACAAAUUAAUUUGCAUAAGGACUUAUUUGAACAUUGCAUUUCUAUUAAAUGGCAAUUAUAUGCAAACCAAAAAUUUGGGAUUCUACAAAAUAGGUUCCAUAAAUGGACAUUGUAGUGCCUUUAAGUGUGUUAAACAGCGGACUGAAGUGGGGAUUUGCAGUAAUCUUUUUCGGUAUGGGCUUGAAGCAUAGUUUUAUGGUGAACUUCUGUCGGAAUGGUGUUUCUUUGACAUAUGCAGUACAAAGUUGGAGGGUCUUUUUCCUCUAUUGGUUUGUCAUUUAUAAGGUUUUGAGGAUUAGUAAAGCUGUUCUGAUGUAGUCACUCGUUACUGAUUCAUUACAUCUUCAAUUUCUUUCUGAGAAAUAGAUUCUUUUUAUGAAAAACAACUGCUGCAUGGACUAGUUACCUCAUUAAGAGACUGAAAGGUAAAUAGGCCAAUUUGAAGGAAAAGAUUUUCCAUGUCUAGAUCAAUAUUUAAAUGAGAGUUCUAGAAAGUCUCAUGUAAUGCUUUAGGCUCUAGAAUAAGUUCAAUCUUAGGCAAGGGAAUGUUUCACAAAGAGUUACCACUGCUUAUGGGCUCCAGAAAAGUUCAACUUUACACUCUUGAAUUUAAUUUCGUUAAUGAACUCAUUGCCAACUCCGUUUUAAUUGCAGAUAUAAACCCAGUGAGGAAACUUUGCUACAGAUUGAUCGAUUUUGUGUAAGCAUAAUUGCUGAGUGCGAUGUGAGCAUUAACCGUAAAGUGGCUCCGUGGACACGUUCUUUGAGUCAACAAUCUGGGAUGCCAACACCCUCUACAAGUGUAUCUCCUUUUCCCGUGUCAAGUUUUGCAUCUGGAGCACUUGUGAAAUCCUUAAAUUAUGUUCGUUCUCUAGUGGCUCAGUACAUACCAAAGCGGUCAUUUCAAUCAGCAGUUUUUGCUGGAGCCCCUCCUGCAUCAAGGCAAUCACUUCCAACAUUGUCUUCUAUAUUAAGCAGAUCAUUCAAUUCACAAUUUAGCCCUGUAAAUAGCAAGGAUGCUCUGGAGAGCAAAGAGACAUCUAUUACAUCUGUUUCAGACUCUCCAGUUGCUGAAGAAGAUGAUGAAAAGGAAGAUCAUGAGUUCAUAGCUCUUGAUGUUUUCAGAUGGCGCUGGUUUGGAGACCAGAAAUUGUCAACUAUCUUGCCUAAAAGGUAUUAUUUUCGUCUGUUAGACAUCUUCUGUUAUUCACCCAAUUGCGUUAAUUGAUUCAGUGUGUCCAUUCUUUCUAAAAUACUCACUUACAGCGAGCACAUUCUGAAUCCCCAAGAUCUACGCACUCAUAAUUUCCUAGAAGUAGGUGCAGCAGCUCUUCUUGUAGGGGAUAUGGACCCCAAAAUGAAGGGUGAAGCUUGGAAACUUUUUGGGAGUGCAGAUAUGCCUUAUCUUGAUCAGCUACUGCAGCCAUCAUUGCUCACAACCGUUACCAAAUCUGCGUCCGCUCGUGCUCAUUUAAGAGCAAUAACAGCACUGAAACGGUCUAAACCAGGGCCCAAUCAAAUUUGGUACAUCCCUCUUGCUUAAUUAUUUUUACACAAGUUUGUGGUUUGCCUGUCUCUGUUAGUUUUAUUAUGUCUUAUUUCUAUGGUUAUAUUUUCUCUAUUGUUAUCAAAGUGUCAUAAUAAUUUUGUCAAAAAAGCAAAAUAUGAACGACUUAAUCCAUAUGACUUUCAACUACAAAGAAAAUACUUCUACUCUGUUGAAUGCGUGUCAUGCUUAUUAGGAUUGAGCCUGUCGAAUCUCAUGUCAAUCAAUUACUUUUGGUGUGCACUAGAUUUUGAGCUUUUGUUACGUUACCUAAAAAUCUGUAUUUUUUAGCUGGAUCAAGAUAUUGGGAAAUGUCAGGUGCUUGUUGGUUUGACUCCAAUGUGUUUAUAUGUUUGUAUGGUAAUGAAAUGGAAUCAAGUGUGAUAUAUUGCUGUAAAUUGAAUGGUAUAAUGUUCAAUGUAAACUAUGAAAUUGUUAUCCUCAAACGAAAAGCAGUUACAGGCAAAUGGCCAGCUUCUGAGGAUCCUUCAAUUUCACCCUAGUUUCUGCCCGAAUGAAAAUAGAACUCCUUCCUAUUUAUGAUGAGUUCAUACCACACUUAUUUGGCAGUCUACCCAGAAUACCCUAACCCCUUAACAACCUAAUUAUUAAACCAUGACAAGAACUUGUGGGUGCCUAACACAUGCUUGGUAUACUGUGCUAGACAGGCCUGCACACUAAAAUGAACAAAAAUUUAGUUUUCUUUUGUUCCUUAAUUCUGUGCCAUCCUUCUCAAAACAAUCCAUCAGUAAUCGUUUUUUUUUUUUUUUUUUGGGUUGGGUCAACUACAGAAUCUAACAGAGAUUUGGUGGAAAAACGAAACAUAGCUGUAACCUCAUUCAAUCUUAUUUAUUAACUUACGAAAACAUUGUUCUGAGAUUCACCAACAUUGCAGAUUGAAAAUAAUUUAAUUGGGGUACAAAUAAUGUUUAAAAUUCAAGAGUCGUUUGAGAUUUUCCUGGACUGAAAUCAAUUUAUUGCUUUUGGCGUUGUAUUCAAGGUUAGGGCGGGGUAAAACCCAACCCAAACCGCUCAACCCGAUCAAAUGGGUUGGGUUGAAAAAUUAUACUUGAAGUUGUAUUUCGGGUUAUAAUUUAAAACCCAAGCCGAUGAAUUAAGAAAAUUAAUAUCUAAGAUGAAAAAAAACUAAAUAACACAAUAGUAAAGAUAUGAGAUUUAUAAAUGUCCAUUUUCUUUACAUAGAUUGAUUCACAUGAAUACUAUGUGAUGAAAUGAAUAAAUCCCAAAAAAUUGUAAAAAAAGAAGAAAGGAAAAGAAAAGAAAAGAAAAAAUACUUCAUUUGCAAGAAAAAAAAUAAUCUUGAACAACACAACACAGUUGAUGACUUACCUAUAGUAUUGUCAUCUCAGUCAAACAUUUUAUCUACUCUGGAGUUUUUACCUCAUUUGCAUGAUACUCUACAGGUUGCCACAUUGUCUUUCAUGGCCAUUAUUCGAUUGCAUGCUUUUCCCAUAGACAUUAGGAUGUUGCCUACUAAUUAUCGACAUAUUGGUUUAGCUCAUCCUUUUUUUGUCAAUGUUCCUAAAUUUUAUACUAAGAUAAAAAGGUACAUCAUUUUUAAUAAUGAAAUUUUUGAAUUUACUUUUGAUAUGCAAUGUAGACUAGGAGACCCUAAUGAUUAUUAUUCUUUAUUACAUGUCUCAUUGUCUCAAUUUCCUAAAUACGUUCAAAUAAGAGUUUUGGAACAUCCAUAUAGAGAUUUUCUAUUCGAUCGGCCAUCACACUUAAAUAAGAGUUAUAUUUUCAAUAUAGAAGAAUUGUUUCCUUGUUGGGGCUCAUUCGAGCCUUCGAUGUUGCAUACAUUUUUUUCUGCAGGCCAGUGUGCAGUGGUAGUUUCUUGUGCUUCUCAAUAUGUACAACCAAUUGAUGAUUUUGAGAAUGAGUUGCAUGAGUUUUUGCUUUUUGGAAUUCCAUGUCGAUACUUGGUUAAAAUAAGAGAUUGUCCCCCUUGGUUAGAUUAUUCUUGGGGAUGAAUUGCAAUUUCAAUUGUCACAUGAUCGGUUUCGUUCUUUGAUUCAUAAGAAGGAUAGCCAUCCUUGGUUUGAGUUUACUCGAUUAACGUUGUCCAAGAUUCAAUACAGGAAUUUGGUCAAGACAAAAAGAUAAGUCUCGUUGGAGUAUGAAGUUCGAGUCUACCUCGCCGGAGUUGAGUUCUCUCAAUCGGAGAGAAAUGACGCAAUACUAUAGAGAUAAAUUAUUUAUUUAGUUUCCUAUUUUAAUUCAUAUUUCAGAGUGUGAUUUAAUUCACUUUUGUGAAAUUUCUUUACUUAUUUAUGAUUUUUGAAACCCUAUAUAAAAGGGAUUAUAGCGAUAUAAUAAAACUUUAUUAUAUGAAUUAAAUUGAUUUCUCUCCCCAACUUCCAUCUUCUCUUCCCCUCUUCUUCUCUCUUUUACACCUUGUCCUAUAAUUCUUCCUCUUUAUUACUACGUCAAUAACCAAAUUGGAAGGUUUAAAAAAAAAUAAAAAAAUAAUAAUAAUAAUUCUGAAGAGCUGCCAGAAUCUAGUGUAAUUAAGGGAGCUAUUGAGGUGAAAUUUUAGUUGUUGAUGAAUAGUGUAGGCAUGCAAAUAUAGAUCUCUAUUAUUCAAAUUAAGACCCGCUGAUUUGGUUUUGGUGCUCUCAUCAACAUCCAAUACUUUCUGCUUUUGCAUGAGUCGCACAAACAGAAAAGAAAAAUAAAAUUUUUUGGUGUUCUGUUCCAUCCUGCAGGCUUCUGUUUUUGGCAAUUUUUAUUUUUAUGUUCUAUUAUCAACAACAUAAUUAUCAAGUUUUCCAAUUGCUGAGACUGUAUAUUCAUCUAUCUGAUGGAACUAAAGUUGAAUACUGUAAGAUCUUGUUCAACCAUAUGUCAAGUUUGUGCAACAUAAUAUUAUACUUGAAUUUUGUCAGACUUCAAUAUUGAUCUGUGGUCAUCCUUUCUUGUUUCACAGGGAAGAUUCUCCUUUGAGCAACUUUCGUCCCCGCGUGAAACCACUGUUCCAAUAUCGUCAUUAUAGGUAAAGAAUUACGGUUUUUUUAUUAUUUUUAUUUUUUAAAAAGAGCCUGCUGUCAUCAAUUGUUUGUGAAUGUCUCUACGAUGCAACAGCAAUAGCAAUGAGAAUAUGUGGUUUUUCCCAAUACUUGGGGUCAACUUCAUGAAUCUUUUUCGGUUGGUCCAUUUGAUCCAAAGUUACCUUUUUUGACUUACGUCAAAUGAUGAAUUCCUUUUGUAAAUGUAUCUAACAGAGUUUUAUUGCUCUUGUGAAUGCAAUUUUUUUUUUCCUGAGCAAGAUAUGCCACAAUCAUCUACAUUAUUUCUUAAUAUAUCCUCAGUUAUCUUCUUUUAUGCAUUCUAGUGUCACGGCGGAUCCUUCUUAAGAUCAUUACUUUUGUAAUGUUCAUCUUAAGAACAUUUGGUAGCCCAACACUUGCUACAAUUGAAGGUAGUUAACCUAAUAGCUGUACAACCUGAAGUGCAUAACUUCUAUUUUCACCCUUUUCAGUUUUCUUAAAAUUAUCCUAUGCAUUUCAUUCUAUUCAAAUCUUCGUUCUUUAUUUAUAAUCAAGCAUAAGCAUCUAAAACAAUCAUCUUCUGUGACACCGUGAUCCUUUUCUUAAGUUUCCUAUUCAUCCUUAUUAAUAGUGUAACAAAAGGACAUUACAUAUAUUCUGACAUAAUUUUACUUAACCCAAAACCCACCAUGAUUCCGUCAAUCAAAUUUAUUGACAAGUAUCAGUGAUGAGUAUGUUUUGAUAUUACUUCUUGUGGUAACUAUGUUUCAUCUAUAUAACAAAUUUACAUUAAUUUAGAUACUGUUCCUAUAUAUUGUGAUUUAUAACCACUGCAAACUAUUUUCAUUUUAUAGUCAGCAAUUAGAAUUUAAAAGAACCGAAGUAUGAAAAAACAUAUCUGUAGACACUUGCAACUUUUUUUCUUAAGAUAAUGCUUAGGUCUAUUGGUGUACUGCAUGCAUAUGCGUAUACAUGCACUCUGUGUACUUUUUAUGUAUCUGUGGAUGUGUUGGUUUUAAUUGCUUUCUAUCUAACUUUGCAUACAUCAGUGAGCAACAACCCUUGCGAUUGAAUGCUGAGGAGAUAUGUGAGGUUAUCGCAGCAGUGUGCACGGAAACUCCUUCGACAAAUUCUAAUCUCACAACAAUCUCGUCUAAGUUAAGCAACAAUGGAAGGCCAUCUCUUGACGUGGCUGUGAGCGUUCUUGUCAAACUUAUAAUUGACAUGUAUGUUCUGAUGCAUUUUGUUUAUACUAUAAGACUUCAUUGAACUUUGUCUUUCUCCAUUUAUCAAUGAGUAGUGACACUUCAUGGUAUAUAUUUAUGGAAAGGAGACACUAUCAUUAUCCAGUACAGAAGUUAGAUCCUUUCUGUACCCUUUCUGGGUGUCUCGUUCAAAUUGCGUUCGAUGUUGUCGUCAACAGGACGUAUCUGAUCUUCAAUAACUUUCUUGGUUUAAAGUCUCUAUUUGUUCAUUGCCACAUAAUAUGAUUCAAAUUCUCCAUGCUCUCGUAUAAUAAGUCAAAUUUUGACUUCUGCUAAGUAAAGGAAAAUAAAUUUAUGCUCUUCAUCUAUUAUGCUAUUUCUUGACUGCAGACAAUUCUAACACCCCCCCCCCCCCCCCCCGGAUCUUGUUUUCCUGCUGAUCUUUUCUAAUUCCUUUUUGUAGGUACGUUUUGGAUUCUGUGACUGCUGCUCCUCUAACUUUAUCGAUACUCGAGGUGCUGCAUACUUUGCACUUGUUUUUUGCAACUCGUAGUUAUAGCUAAUUAUUUGCACACAAAUUAUUGUAGGAUAUGCUAAAUUCUCCAAAAGUGAUGUCAAGGGCUCAAGCUUUUGAUUUAAUUUUGAACCUCGGAGUUCACGCACAUUUAUUGGAGCCUCCAGCACCUGAUGACACCUCUGGAAUUGAAGAAGAGUAUUUGCACGAACCAUAUUUCGAAAAUGAAACUCAACUUUCUUCGCAAGGAAAGAGAAUAUUAGACAAUUUUAAGAAAAUGGGGAAUUCUUCAGCUAUUGAUAAGUUUGAGAAUUGGAUUCUGGGCAUUCUCUAUGAGGUUCUUCUUCAUCUUGUUCAGGUAUAUGUGAUAUUUAUUUAUGGCAUGGCAGAAUUUUACAGUAAUUUGGCACCCUUUUUUUUUUUUAAUAACCCUUUGGUGAUGGGGAAGGGGCUUAAUUUACUUGUACAUAUUUGAAUCAAACAUAAAGGGCUGCAUCCAUACAAACUUAAUGCUUAUCGCUGUGUUUCAGCUGACAGAAAAUAUUCAUGGGGAUAUUAUGAACUUGUACACACAAUAAUACUCAUUUUUAGUCAAUGAAAUGAAUAUUUCAUUAAAAUUUCUAAUGACACUCAUGUCAGCUUCAAUUCUAUAAAAUAAUUAAUAUGCGUCUCUCGGAAUUGAAACUCAAAAAGACACUUGGAUAAUUUCAUAUAAUAAAAUAGAAGUUUGAAAUUUGAAUUCAGGAAAUAUCUAUGAGGUUGUUAACUGCACAAGAGAAGUGAGGAAGUAAAGAAGACACGAAAUUUGUUGGGUUUUUAACAAAAGAGAAGAACUCUAGUUAGAUUUAGGCUCAACUGUUGAUCAUUAAUAAACAGAUGAAAGACUGAUUGGAUUUUUGUAUUGAAUGACAAAUAUGACACCAUCGCUUUUUUUUUUUUUUUUUUUUUAAUUGAUGUUAUCUAUUUACCUAGGUUAUGAUUCCAAGAAUGGACCAAACAAGUCAACAUUCAUUUUCUUUUAUAGACAAUCAAUAUUUCUUGUAAAUCCUCCAUUUCUCCUACAACCAGGCAUGUGUAUCAACUCUAUUCAUUUUUCAAUCCCAUGCUCAAGCAUCCCAAUUGCUUCAUAUUUUGUGCUCUCUCUGUAUGUGUGAUAUAAUGGUACACAUGUUAAAACGGAUGUCUAGAUGGUACCACAUAGCUGCUAUAUUAGUCUAGAAUUUUAUCUGAUUGGUUGUAGUAAACUUCUAAUUUCUGCAUUUGUUUGAUUCAUAUUUAUAGGUUGUGCUGCACGUUUCAUGUAUUGUCGUUGUCUAAUACAUGCUUAUUUCUCAGAUUGAAGAGAAGGAAGAAUCUGUCUGGGCUUCAGGUUUAAGUUGUUUACUCUAUUUUGUUUGUGAUAGAGGGAACAUUCGAAGAAGCAGAUUACAAGGUCUUGAUAUUAGAGUGAGUAUUUUUACGCAUUGUUUUGAUAUCAUCUGUGAGCAGAUAAGGUUUAUAUGCAAUUCAAUUUUGGAAUCAUUGUACUACAGACUAUAUUAAGUGGGAGUAUUCUGCGUUAUGAGAAGGGGAAAGCUCUCUUAGUUACAUCUCACGUAGAACUUGUUUAAAUUCUGGAUGGGAUGUUUUGAUAUGAAAGGAAAGUGUUUGGAGAACAGAAUGACUAGCAAAAGGGAAUGGCUUCCUCCCACCUUAAUAAUAUCUUAGGUUAUUGACAAAUUGGUGAAUGCUGAAAUUCCUUGUGAGAAGGCAAAAAGGGAAGGGGGAACUUUCAGUUACUUGAAAUCUUUACAUUCUCUUGUUAAAUAAAAUUACCAUUAAACUAAAGAUCUUUCAGUAUUAUCAAAUUCUGAGUUGAUCAAUGGCGAUAUCAUAGAAAUUGAAUUGUUAGGAUGAGAAAGUUCCUCACGUUAGUUUUCUAAACCUCGUAAAAGAUCAGAUAUUUCUUGAAAAUACUCUAUAUUGAUUGAAUGAAAGGGAUUCAUACAGUUAGUUGCAGAUGAGUUGGCAAAAGCAACCUGAAUGGUUUUCCUGGCUUCUGGUUAGAAAACCUUAAAAUUUAAUGAAGUGUUGGUUAUCUGAUGAUGAAAUCUGCAAGGAUUAUUCCUUUCAAAGCCUUCAAAUUACCAAACGCAAAGAGAGGAUGUCAUUUGUCUGUAAUCUUCUACUACUGGGUGUCUGUUAAUUGAAAGAAAAGGAUGGUCACUGACUUACCGGUAGUUUAUUUUUUAACGAUUAUUAUGGACUUACAGACAAUUGAUAAUUUUGUGUUUUAACCAAUGGAACCAUAACCUGAAAGAAUAAAAUGUUAAGAGUGGUUUACCAUUCGUCUAUGGUACUGGAAGCUUGGCACAUGAUGGCUUCAUUGGUGGUUAAAUAGGCAGAUUUUCAGCAUCUCACCCAAACAUGAAAUGAGAUGGAAUUCCUCUUCGUUAGCCAACCAAAGCAUCUUUAACGAAUGUUUUUUCCUCAAUAUUCAAUAAAUUUUGAUGUGCAUGGCCAAUAAAUUUUAUUUUGUGUUUUCUACUCCUACCUUUUACUAUUCCAAUAUUGACUACAUCUACUCUUACUUUACUCACAGGUUAUUAAGGUACUCAUACGGAUUAGUAGAAGAAACUCUUGGGCAGAAAUCGUUCAUUGCAAGCUUAUUUGCAUGAUGACAAACAUGUUUUAUCAAGUUCCUGAAGGGCCUGAUAAAGUUGUUUCAGCUACUCCAAUCUUUCUUGUUCAGCAGUUUGAUCUGAUUGGAGGGAAUGAGUUUAUAUUUGAAGAGGUAAUAUGCGGAGCAUCUUUUUAAGAGAGUUCAUAUGCUGCAUUAUGAAUGAACUAAAAUAUGUUGAAGGGAAUUUUGCGUAUUCAAAUAUU
rnacentral:lncRNA from 1 species